rnacentral:lncRNA from 1 species
ACGAAAGCCUUUUCUUUUUAAAGCACGCUACCACGAGGGGUAGAAAAUAAUUUUCAGUUUACAAAAUCAUAUAUCCUUUAUUUUUUAUGAAACCACGUGUUUUAAUUAACUUCACAAAACCAUGUUUAUAUAUAUCCAAGUAAACAAAACCAACUGAACCAUAUGUCUAAGAUAUGUCAACAGAAAUAAAGAGGGUAAUAGCUGAACUGAACAAACCGGGUCGAAGGCUCUAGCGACCACUACGAACGUGUCUCACGUCUCGUCUCAACCCUCACCGCCCGCAAUUCCUGAAAAAUGGUGGGGGAGGUGAGAACAUGUAAACAUGUCUCCCCUCCCAGUGGGUACCGCAAGCCGACGAAGGCGAGGAGUACUCACCGGAUCAGGAAGAGAUAAAUAACAGUACGGGUAAGUGAAAUACAGUAGCAACGAUAAUGAACGAAUGAGAUAUAAAUAUAUAUAUAUAUAUAUGAAAACACAACUACCGCUACUGUAAGGAAGAACUGAAUGCAUACAUGAAUAUCAACUAUAGUAGCAAGACAACUGUAAAGAAAGAACUGUAAGUAUGCAAGCAACAACCGCUAUUAUAGUCAUAUGCGUCAACCAGACGACAAGUCCAAAAAUACCCAAUCUGAAAACUGCCCUAUUGGUCCGCAGACCUCAGGCCCUUGCCCACUGCCACUCUACCUGUAUAUAACCCAGUUCUGACCGCUGGGCACCCAGUUCUGACCGUUGAGCUCAUAGGCUGCAUAUAACCCAGUCCUAACCGCUGGGCUCACGGGCUGGCACAUCCAACCACUUUUCCGGAAAAGAACACCCUCUUGCGGUGGAUCAGACCGCUGGUGAUCGUGAACUGCGAACGAGUCUCGGGCGAUCAAUGCUGAUAUGCUCAAAGGUCAACCGUCGGCAACCAGCCGACAAUCCUGCCCACAGGGCUCACCGACCGUAUAGGUCAUCAACUGUAAGGAAGCACAAAAACCGACCACUCAGGUCAACUAGGAUGGAACGACUCUACAUCCUCUCAAAAGUAUGAAAAUACUGCUCGAUGGGUCAACUAAAGUAUAGAUACAAGAACCAACUAAUAGAUCACAGGAAUGUAUCACUAUAAUCUGGAACUACCGUCAGCCACUAGCCGACAAUCCUAGCCCUCAGGGUACACCGACCUCAACGGUCAUCGGACAACAGAAGUCAAAGAACCGACCAACCAAGUCACCAAUACGAAGUACGAGAAUCGACCAACCAGGUUACUAAUACGAAAUACGAGAAUCGACCAACAAGGUCACUAAUACGAAGUACGAGGAUCGACCAACCCGGUCAUAGGUAUUACAAAUAGAUAGACUACUCUACUCCUACACCUGAUACUAAGCAUGGGAAUAUCUGAGUAGAGUGUAAUGUAAACAAUAGAGGUGCAAAGCUCAACAUAUAAUAUAUGCAUGGAAUAUAACAAAAGAGCAAGGGUAAGAAACCAUCACCGAGCGUGCACCACUGUACCGACGUCGGAUCGAAGUACCCACCUGUACGAAUGUCGCACCUGUCUCCUGACUGUGAAAGAAAGUCAACCGGACCUAAGGAAAGUCCACCGGGUUAGUAUCUAACCCACAACUAAGAAACCCUAAAAGCAUAACCCCAUAAAUAAACCCACGAGAAUCGGUUUCCCAAACCGAUCGUCGUAAUACGCCGGAAGUCCCAUAAUCGCACGGGGACUCCGCCAGGACCUACGAACUAUCCCGGAACACACCGACUCGAGCUACGAGUCACCCGCUGCCACUAAACAUAAUUAAUCGUGUACCAUGGCAGCAAACACAACUCCUCACGUCGAAACAAUUACCGUCGGCUAAUCGUUUCGAUCCGGAUUCCCGAAAGUGUCAAUUUCGACACCGGAACCCACCGUCGCUCACCCGUCAUUUUUGAACUCUCGAAAUGACAUGAGUGACCAGCCAACAAGGCUCAGCGACUACACAAUAGUUCAUGAAGCACCGUCGGAAUAAUUCCGAACCGAAGUUGCGUUCCGUCGACGGAUUUCGCGAGAAACGCUUCGAAAAUCAAUAUUUGAUUUCCGCAAGGGCCGGGGCCUUGGAAAAUCAGUCCAGAGGUUACCCUCAGCCUACACUUGUUGCCAACAGCAGCCUCGAAGAACAAAAUUGCAUAAGAGCCCUCCCGAUUACCUAAAAUCACAUCAUUUUAUGUGAUUUCGGCGCUUUUAUGGUCCGUCUACACAAACCAGAAGUUAAUCAGCCAAACCAAGAAACCCGCUGAUAGGUCUCAGCAUGCCGAAGGCCGUGCUCACCUUUCGGAGCACUGCCGGCCACUGUGGCACGCGUACGAGCGACGCGAAAGUCUGCGAAAUAGCACACACAGUGCUUAAAUCGCAGUUAACUCGCUAACCAGGGCAUCUAUAACCCUAAUGGAGAUGAGCACAGUGUUCAGCACGAAUCCACGAUCAUCGUGCCCACCUCCAUGGGUGUCGGGGUGUCUUCGGAUCGCCGGAACAGUGAAUGGAAACUCAAACUAUAAUGCUGGAACGUAAAAACAGCAUACCGAAGCUGGGGAGAGUUAGGGUUGGCCUCCGGCGGCCGGACGGCGAGCGCUCCGACCGGGAAUGGGAGCGGUAGGUCCGAGAGGUCCGGGGAGGGUGCUGGCCGGCUGCGGGCGGCAACCGGCGGCGCGGCGGCGGAGAUCAACUCCACCAAGCUACUCUCGGGUUCAACGUCCACGGCGUCCACGCGAUGGCCGGAGAAGCUUGGGAUGGCGACGACCCGUCGCCGGAGGCCGAUGGGAAGGCGGCGCGCACGGUACACGGCGGCGGCCCACGAAGGCAAUGCAGGUCCAAGCUUGGCCCGCACGCACUCCAGAUGGCCGCAGAGAGAUCCGGCGGUGGCCGGCGGCACGCGGGGACUGUGAGGAGGCGCGCGGGAGGUCGCCGGAGGUCAUUGGAGGGCGGCGCGGCCGAUAGGGAGCGGCGGCAGUGCACGGGAGCAGAGAUCACCCCGGCUCGGCCUGGGUGACUGCCGCCGGCCGCAGGGAGCUCGGGCAGCCCCGGCGAGGUGCGGGGACGGCGGAGGCCGGCAGGAACUACGCCGGGAAUGGGUCUCUGCCCAGGAAAGCUUCCAGGGAGGGUUUGUGGCAGUUUCCCAAGCAGCUUCGGCAGAGAGAAGAGGGUGGCCGAGAGGGGAGGAGAGGAAGAUGAUGAUGGGCCUUCUGGCGGCUGGAGCCGUUCGCCGGACGUCGAGGCACAUGCACAGGCAGGGCAGGGAUGAUGGUAGGGCGGCUAGGGUUUGCUGAGUGAACUUGGGCAGCAAAAGGACCAAGGAAAACCCUAGUGGCCACCUUUAUACUAGGUGCCAUUUUGCAAGAAACCCCUUCAAGGUCAACUAUUUACAGCUAGGUCCCCUGCUAGCACGUGUAUUAUGCGCCUAAGUCCCCCGACGUUCGAAUUCGCGCAAAACGGCGCAUAAAAUAUUGUAAAUUUUCGCGAUUUAACCAUUUUACCCAUUUGACCUCUUAGCGAACAUCUUGCUUUUUCCGAAGAUCCGUCCGUCGGAUUUCCGAUCGGAUCACGCCAGCACGUUCAGCACGACUGGGGCAUCUAAUCUAGCAUUUCAUUUCAUCCGAAUUGAUCUCCGAUUCACGACAAAACCCACCCUCAUUGUUUCCACCACAUAACCACAUAUAUUUAUAUAUGUAAAACCGAUCAAACCCCUUUUUCUUGACAACCGAGCAUCAGAACCCAAUUCCGUCAGUACCAUUGGGUUCAGAAUAGUCGAGCCAUUCGAAACGAGCUAUUGGAGUCCUAUGUUCAGAGUCCAAUACGCACCAGAACCCUUCUCUACUCACUGGCUCAUCCGAAAAGCCGGAGUUACUAUUCACUUUAAGUUAUCGGUCUUGGUCGCGUAAUUUCUCCAUUCUAGCUCAUUUUCUCCUGAAACUUGACGAGUGCUUAUGUAAUUAAAUUACACACUGAAAUAUCGUCAACAGAGAGUUUAACUGCACUGCCAAAAUCUCAGUCCUUACAGGGAUAGUCGGCGUGGUUAGUUGCCGAACCCACUGGGAACUUUGUUGUAGUUCUCACACCCCUAUUUUCACAGAGCCGGGACCGAGCGAGCCGGUUGAUGAUCGCGGUAAGGGCAUUGUGCCCUAGAUAGUGACCGCCCAUGAUGGUUUCAUAUUUUGUAGUUGCAUUCCCUUUACUAUCAUCUUUUGUAUUUGAUGAUUUUAGUAUCAUGAACAUGUUUAAAUGAAUGAUGUAAAGGAUAUUUAUUUGAAAUGUCAAAAGUUAUAUUUUGGGAGAAAUGAGAUGUAAAAAGAAAUGAUGCAAGAAUGUGAAAGAACUUGAUUAUAGUUGGAUGCAUGUAUGUGAUUUAAAUUUAGUCAUAUUACUUGUAUGUUGAGCCUUGGGCGGACAGGGGAAGCUCUGUCCGUUCGGCGUCUGUUUGACGCUCUCGAACCGGCCAAAAGGAUCGGGCUCGGGGCGUGACACUAUGAUUGCUAAUACUAGGGCUACUACUACUUCUAACUAGGGGUGGAACUGGGCCUGGGCCUAAACAAGGCCCGGCCCGAUGGGUCAUGUUUCGGCCUGGCUUUGGGUAUUAGAAAUAUAAUUUUGGAUUCGGGCCGGGCUUAAAAAUUUACGCCCGAAAAAAUUUUAGGCCUAUUUGGGCAUGUCCAAGCCCGGCCCGAGCCUGACCCAAAAGCCCGAUAUAUUAAUUAUCAAAAUAAAAAUAUUUAAUUAUAUAUAUAUAUAUAUAUAUAUAUAUAUAUAUAUAUAUAUAUAUAUAUAUAUAUAUAUAUAUAUAUAUAUAUAUAUAAUAUUUAUCUAUAAAAAGAAUAAAUGAUAUAGUAUAUCAUAUAUAGUAUAUAUUGUUAUAAAUGAUAUUUAUUUAUAUAUAUGAGGAUAUAUUAUAUACUAACAAAAUAUUUAGUCCCAUAUUACGAUAUAUUAAUUGUAUUAUUAUAUAUAAUUAAUUAAUUAUACAUAUCUAUAAAGAAAUAUAUGGUACAUAUUAUUAUAUAUAGCUAAUUAGUUAUAUGAUAAAUGCAUAAAAUGGGCCUCCACAAAGCCCGAUGGGUAUUGGGCAUUGGGUUUGGUCUUGGGCCGGGCCUUAAUUUUCAAAAAUAAUUAGGUAAAAGCCGGACCCGAAGCCCAGCAUUUUCUUUUGGGCCGGGCUUGGGCAUAGUAUAACCCCACCCAAGCCCGACCCAGUUCCACCCCUACUUCUAACACUAAAGGAUGUUGCUGCCUCUUUUUCUGCUGCACCUACUUUUUUUGUUCUUCUUAUGCAUCUAUUGCUAUUGGUUCCCUAUGUAGCUUGAAGCAUAUAUUCUUGGGCAUUAAUAUGUGCUUUCUGUUACCGACCAUCCCUAGAGCAAGUGGCAAAGGGCUUGGUGGUUGGUACCCGAGACUCAAGGUCGAAUUCUAGUUGAUUCACAUUUCUAGCUAAGUUUAUUUCUAAAUGAAAUAAACGAAACGGGUAGCGUGCUACCUAUCUCUCUACAAAUUUCAACUAGUAGUGUUAUGUACUAACCUUUUUUUUCGUUCAAUCAAAUCUCGAAGUUUGAUAUUGGUCAUUUUGAUUUCAUCAUAAUUGACAAUAUUACAAAUAACUUUAUUGUUUAUCUUAUAAAUAUGGCAUUACAAUACUCAAAAAUUUUAUAAUCUAAUUUUCAAUAAAAUUGCUAUAACUUUUUCUGCUUUUAUAUUCACCUUUCUUCCUUGUUUGUUUCUACUGCAUAUCGAAUUAUGUUGGUAUGCUUACGCUAUUGUUUGGUAUUUUAUUUCUAUUUAAUGGUUUACUAUUGUUUCUGCUACUCUUGCUCCUUUUUCUUCUUUUUCUUCCUUUUGUUAUAGUUAUAGUUCCUUCUUAUGUUCUUUCACACUUUUGCAGUUCUGGUCAUUCUUCGCGCAAUUGUUGUAGCACACUUGGCUGAAUUUUGACUGCAUAGAACUUAUCUAUUGUCCCAGUUGUCGAUGCAUUAUUCUCUGCAGUCUGAUUUUUGCUACUAUGUCGACGGUUUUGUAGAGAGACUCUACUUUCUCUUACAUCAUUUUGUGCUAACUCCUUUCCAUCCUUUUCUAUUUAGUUUGUUUAUUACUGUUGGUGUUGUUAUUACUACUAAUUGAUCAUCUUUUUCUUUAGUUACUUUUUCUAACCUUUCUUUGUCAUGUUGAUUUCUUGCAGUGCUUUCGCCUUUAUUUACAGAUGGUUGUACUUUGGAACUUGCGUAUGAAUUUAAUGUUAGCUGCAGUGGAUGCUUGUUUGACUAUCAUACACCUAAUUGACACUACAAGAUUUUAUUUCUUAUGGUGUUUAACAAAUUAUUUAUUUUUCUAAAAUUAUUGAUAAAAAGGUAACUGUUUUAGGUCAUAUUCAAAUAAUAUCUUUUUCAUAUCUUUAUUUCUCCUAUGAACUUUAUCUUUAAAAUAAUUUAUACUUGUAACUGAUGACACUUUUGAUUUGUAUUCAUCUUUUUAUUUUUUAUUUUUUAUUUUUUAUUUUUUUAUAAUACUUUUUAUUAUACAUUUACUGUUUUAUUAUUUUUUUUUUCUUCGUUGCUGCUUCCUUCUUCGUUUUCUCUUACAAAUCAACCCACCGGAACAUGCGGAUCCUUACACUCUGUUUGGUUGGGGGUUAAAGGGGGGAUAAGAGGGUUAUCCCAGUUAUCCCCCUCUUUAACCCCAAACAAGAUUUUAGGGGUUAGCUAACCCCACUUCCCCCCAAGAAUAGGGGUGGAUUAAAGUUAAUCCCACCCCUAUUUAAUUUUUAAUAUAAUUUUAAAAUUUUAAUUUUAAAUAAAAAAUUUAAAAAAUUUUUAAUUUGCAAUCUUAAAAUUAAUAUUAAUAUUUUUAAAUUUUAAAUUUUAAAUUUUAAAUUUUAAAUUUUAAAUUUUAAAUUUUAAAUUUUAAUUUUAAUUAUUUAAAAUUUAAAUUUGACAUUUUAUAUUUGAAAAUUUGAAAAUGUUUAAUUUGUAAUAUUAAAAGUAAUAUUUAUAUUUUUAAAUUUUAAUUUUUAAAUUUAAUUUUUAAUUUUUAAAUUUUAAAUUUUAAUUUUUAAUUUUUAAAUUAUAUUUUUAAAUUAUUUAUAAUUUUAAAUUUAAUUAUUUUAUAUUUAAAUUUAAAAAUUAUAAUUUGUAAUCUUAAAUAUAUAUUUAUAUUUUAAUUUUAACUUUUAAUUUAAACUAUUAGUUUUAAUUAUUUAAAUUUAUUUUAUUAGAUUUGAUUUAAAUUUAUAACUUUAAAUUUUAAAUUUGAGAUUUAAAAAUAAAUUUUUAUUUUGAAUUUUUUAAUUUUAAAAGUUAAAAUUUUUAAAUAUAAAAUAAAAUUUUAAAUUCAAAUAUAAAAUAUUAGACAAAAUCAUUAUUUUCUAUUUAUUACUAGGGUGGCAAUCCAGCUCGCUGUUCGCGAGCCAGCUCGUGUUCGGCUCGAAAUGAGCUCGAGAUCGAAUCGCUCAUUUAGUAAACAAGCCGAACACGAGCUGAAUUUUUCAACUCGUUUAAUAAAGGAGCCGAACACGAGCUGGGGUCAGCUCGCUCUGUUCGGCUCGAUAACAGCUCGAAUACAUAUAUUUAUAUUUAUAUAAUUUAUUUAAUUUAUAUUUUUAUAUAUAAAUAAAUAAUUAUAUAUUUUUAUUAUUUAAUUUUUAGCAAAAUAAAAAUAUAAAUGCAAAGAUUAUGUCAUGCCCCGGGGUCCCUUUUAGUUUGAAACACAGCUUUCCUUUUAGUUUGAAACACAGCGGAAAAGCGUCUAUUUUUUUUUUUUUUUAAAAAAAAAGCCUAACCCCAAGAUAUGCCAGAUCCGCUACAAAUACAGAAAAUUCACUGUUUACACGGACAGAGUCUCCCCUAUAUUUGCAUGGCGUCGCACAAGUACACAAGUACAAACAGAGUAUAACCAGGAUACAACCACAAUACAUGAAUAUACAAUACUCAACAUUCGUUCACCAUUCACCAGAUAUUUACCAUUCAGUGUUUAAACAUAAAAGCCACGAGAAAACUCUUUUGAAAGCUGUUUUCCACACGGAAACCUUUUUUUUUUUAAACACGCUACCAUGAGGGGUAGAAAACUAUUUUUCCUUUUUACAAAAUCCACGAGUUCUAUAGUUUAUUCCAAAUCACAUGAAUUCGAAUAAUAUAAACCAACUGAACCAUGAAAUAUUAAAGCUAUUAAUAACAAAAGUAAACAGGGUAGGAACUAAACCAACAAACUAGGUCGGAAGCUCUAGCGACCACUACGAACGUGUCUCACGUCUCGUCUCAACUCUCACCGCCCGCGAUACNAGAACUAAACAACAGUACGGGUCAGUAGAAAAUACAGUAGCAAUAAUAAUGAAUGAAAGAGACAUAUAUAUGAAAGAAAGUACAACUACCGCUACUGUAAUGAACAACUGAAUAUAUACAUGUAACAAGGCUAUAGUAGCAAGACAAUGUAACCAAAGAACUGAAGGUAUAUAAGCGACAAUCGCUACUAUAGUUAUAUGUGUCAACCAGACGAUAAGUCCAAAAUACCCAAUCUGUAAUGGCCGUAUUGGUACGCAACACCUCAGGCCUAUGCCACAUCUACUCUGACAGAAACAAGCCAUAUUGGUACCCAACACCUCAGGCUGAAAGCAUAUAACCCCUCUGGGGCUCACGGGUUGACACAAGCAACCACUUUUCCAGAAAAGAACACUGCUUGCGGUGGAUCAGACCGCCAGUGUUCGUGAAAUGCGACGAGUAUCGGGCGGUCAAUGCUGAUAUGCUUAAAGGCCAAACGUCAGCAACCAGCCGACAAUCUUGCCCACAGGGCUCAUCGACCGUAUAGGUCAUCAACUGUAAGGAAGCACAAGAACUAACCACUCAGGUCAACUAGGAUGGGACAACAUCAACAUCCUCUCAAACAUAUGCAAAUACUGCUCAAUGAACCACGAGGACUGACCACUCAGGUCAACUAGGAUAUAUGCACAACGAAUCAACGAAUGGGUCAUCAGGGUGUAUCAAUAGAAUCCAGAACUACCGUCGGCCACUAGCCAACAAUCCAACCCCUCUAGGGUACAUCGACCACGACGGUCAUCGAACGACAGAAGUCAAGGAACCGACCGAAUGUGUUACAAAUACGAGAUACCAGAACAGAUCAACCAGGUCACCGAUACGAAGUACAAGAAUCGACCUACCAAGUCACUGAUAUAAAGUACAAGAAUCGACCUACCAAGUCACUGAUAUGAAGUACAAGAAUCGAUCAACCAGGUCAACAAAUACGCACAUAGAUAGAACCACUCCACUCAUACUCAGGAUACUAAGCAUGCAAACAACGAGUAGAGUAUAAUGGAAUAACAUGAGUGCAAGGCUCAAUAUAUACUAUGCAAUAAUAACAACAGAAGAGUAAGGGUAAGAAACCAUCACCGAGCGUGCACCAUUGUACCGACGUCGGAUCGAAGUACCCACCUGUACGUAUAUAAAACUGGUCUCUCGACUGCGGAGACGGAGCAACCGAACCUACGAAAGGUCCAACGGGUUAGGAUCUAACCCACUGACAUGUAACGCUAACUCACAACCCCCAAUCAUAGCCCCACGGAAUCGGUUUCCCAAAACCGAUUACCGAACAUGCCGGAAGUCCCGAAAACCUCACCGGAACUUCACUGUCGCUCACCCGUCAUUUUCGAACCUUCAAAACGAUGGGGGUAACCAGCCAACAAGGCUCAGCGACGUCGCAAAUAAUCACCAAGUACCGUCGGAAGAAUUCUGAACCGAAACAGCGUUCUAUCAGCGGAUUUCGCCGAGAAACGCAUCGGAAAUCACUUUUCGAUUUCCGCAAGGGUUUGGGGCCUUGGACAAUCAGUCCAGAGGUUAUCCUCAGCCCAAACAUGCUGCCGACAGCAGCUACAUUGAAGCAAAAAGCAUAAAAGCCCGUACCGAUACAUAAAAUCACAUCAUUUUAUGUGAUUUCUGAGCUUUUAUGGGUCGUGCACGUAAACCAGAGGUCGAUUGAUCAGACCGUCGCACUCGCUGCUAGGUUUCAGCAUGUCGGAGGCUGUGCUCACAUUUCGGAGCACUGCCGGCCACUGUGGCACGCGCACGAGCGACGCGAAAACCUGUGAAACAGCGCGCACAGCGCCAAGAUCGCAAUUAACUCGUUAACCAGGGCAUCCUUGCCCCUGCCGGAGGUGAGCACGAUGUUCAGCACGAACCCUAGAUCAUCGUGCUCACUUCUCGGGGUGUCGGGGAGUCAUCGGAUCACCGGAAAGGUGGCCGAAAAGCUAAACUACUAUGCUGGAACCUAAAAACAGCAUACCAGAGCAGUGGGAGCUAGGGUUGGCCUCCGGCGGCCGGACGGCGAGCACUCCGGCCGGGAAUGGGAGUAGUCGGUCCGAGAGGUCCGGGGAGGGUGCUGGCCGGCGGCGGGCGGCAACCGGUGGCGCGGCGGAGGAGAUCAAAUCCGUGCACUAACUCACGGGUUCAAGGUUUCCCGGCGGCGAGGCGGCGGCCGGAGGAGGUCGGGGCGGCGACGAUCCGGCGCCGGAGGCCGAGGGGAAGGUGGUGCACCCCCCGGUGGGCGGCGGC